rnacentral:rRNA from 1 species
GACGAACGCUGGCGGCGUGCCUAAUACAUGCAAGUUGAGCGCUGAAGGUUGGUACUUGUACCAACUGGAUGAGCAGCGAACGGGUGAGUAACGCGUGGGGAAUCUGCCUUUGAGCGGGGGACAACAUUUGGAAACGAAUGCUAAUACCGCAUAAAAACUUUAAACACAAGUUUUAAGUUUGAAAGAUGCAAUUGCAUCACUCAAAGAUGAUCCCGCGUUGUAUUAGCUAGUUGGUGAGGUAAAGGCUCACCAAGGCGAUGAUACAUAGCCGACCUGAGAGGGGGAUCGGCCACAUUGGGACUGGGACACGGCCCAAACUCCUACGGGAGGCAGCAGUAGGGAAUCUUCGGCAAUGGACGAAAGUCUGACCGAGCAACGCCGCGGGAGUGAAGAAGGUUGUCGGAUCGUAAAACUCUGUUGGUAGAGAAGAACGUUGGUGAGAGUGGAAAGCUCAUCAAGUGACGGUAACUACCCAGAAAGGGACGGCUAACUACGUG